UACGUAGGGAGCAAGCGUUGUCCGGAAUUACUGGGCGUAAAGAGCUCGUAGGUGGUUUGUCGCGUUGUCCGUGAAAACUCACAACUCAAUUGUGGGCGUGCGGGCGAUACGGGCAGACUGGAGUACUGCAGGGGAGACUGGAAUUCCUGGUGUAGCGGUGGAAUGCGCAGAUAUCAGGAGGAACACCGGUGGCGAAGGCGGGUCUCUGGGCAGUAACUGACGCUGAGGAGCGAAAGCGUGGGGAGCGAACAGG
rnacentral:rRNA from 1 species